rnacentral:lncRNA from 1 species
UUGUGUGGUUUGUCUAUUUACUCGAAGUAGUCAGGUGUUUGUGGUUGGUGUGGUUUGUCUAUUUACUCGGGUAGUCAGGUGUUUGUGGUUGGUGUGGUUUGUCUAUUUACUCGGAGUAGUCAGGUGUUUGUGGUUGGUGUGGUUUGUCUAUUUACUCGGAGUAGUCAGGUGUUUGUGGUUGGUGUGGUUUGUCUAUUUACUCGAGUAGUCAGGUGUUUGUGGUUGGUGUGGUUUGUCUAUUUACUCGGAGUAGUCAGUGUUUGUGUGGUGGUGUGUUUGUCUAUUUACUCGGAGUAGGUCAUUUGUGGUUGGUGUGGUUUGUCUAUUUACUCGGAGCAGUCAGGUGUUUGUGGUUGGUGUGGUUUGUCUAUUUACUCGAAGUAGUCAGGUGUUUGUGGUUGGUGUGGUUUGUCUAUUUACUCGAAGUAGUCAGGUAUUUGUGGUUGGUGUGGUUUGUCUAUUUACUCGAAGUAGUCAGGUGUUUAUGGUUGGUGUGGUUUGUUUAUUUACCGGAGGAGUAGUAGGUGUUAUGGUUGGUGUGGUUUGUCUAUUUACUCGAAGUAGUCAGGUAUUUGUGGUUGGUGUGGUUUGUCUAUUUACUCAGAGUAGUCAGGUGUUUGUGGUUGGUGUGGUUUGUCUAUUUACUCGAAGUAGUCAGGUAUUUGUGGUUGGUGUGGUUUGUCUAUUUACUCGGAGUAGUCAGUUUUGUGUUGGUGUGGUUUGUGUCUAUUUACUCGGAUGUAGUCAGGUAUUUGUGGUUGGUGUGGUUUGUCUAUUUACUCGAAGUAGUCAGUGUUUGUGGUUGGUGUGGUUUGUUAUUUACUCGGAGUAGUCAGGUAUGUUGUGUUGGUGUGUUUGUCUAUUUACUCGAAGUAGUCAGGUGUUUGUGGUUUGGUGUGGUUUGUCUAUUUACUCGGAGUAGUGAGGUGUUUGUGGUUGGUGUGGUUUUUUUUUACUCGAAAUAGUCAGGUGUUUGUAGUUGGUGUGGUUUGUCUGUUUACUCAGAGUAGUCAGGUGUUUGUGGUUGGUGUGGUUUGUCUAUUUACUCGGAGUAGUCAGGUGUUUGUGGUUGGUGUGGUUUGUUUAUUUACUCGGAGUAGUCAGGUGUUUGUGGUUGGUGUGGUUUGUCUUUUUACUCGAAGUAGUCAGGUGUUUGUGGUUGGUGUGGUUUGUCUAUUUACUCGGAGUAGUCAGGUGUUUGUGGUUGGUGUGGUUUGUCUAUUUACUCGGAGUAGUCAGGUAUUUGUGGUUGGUGUGGUUUGUCUAUUUACUCUAAGUAGUCAGGUAUUUGUGGUUGGUGUGGUUUGUCUAUUUACUUGGAGCAGUCAGGUGUUUGUGGUUGGUGUGGUUUGUCUAUUUACUCUGAGUAGUCAGGUAUUUGUGGUUGGUGUGGUUUGUCUAUUUACUCUGAGUAGUCGGGUAUUUGUGGUUGUUUUUGGUUUGGUUGGUUGUUCUAUUUACUUGAAGUAGUCAGGUAUUUGUGGUUGGUGUGGUUUGUCUAUUUACUCGGAGUAGUCGGGUAUUUGUGGUUGGUGUGGUUUGUCUAUUUACUCGGAGCAGUCAGGUGUUUGU